AUUUGGGUUUGUGAUUUGAAAAUUAGGAUAACUAGACUAUUUGUGCACAGAUGAAUACUCUUUAAGAAUUUUUCAUCAAUAUUUUGUAUUUUUAAAUAAUUUUCUUAAAAACCUCUAUUUUUGGAAUGUUUUCAUUUUACAGAUAAAUAUUGUAGAUUUGGGUUUGUAAUUUAGAAAUUAGGAUAACUAGACUAUUUGUGGACAGAUGAAUACUCUUUAAGAAAUUUUCAUCAAUAUUUUGUAUUUUUAAAUAAUUUUCUUAAAAACUGUUAUUUUUGGAAAGUUUUCAUUUUUUUCAAAAAAUAUUAUAGUUAUUGGUUUGUGAUUUAUUAAUUAGGAUAACAAGAAUAUCUGUGGAUAAAUGAGUAUUUUUUCGGUGUUUUUCAUCAAUAGGUUGUAUUUUUAAAUAAUUUUCUUAAAAACUGCUAUUUCUGGAAAGUUUUCGUUUUAUACAUAAAUAUUUUAGAUUUGGGUUUUGUGAUUUAAAAAUUAGGAUAGCUAUACUAUUUUUGGACAGAUAAAUACUCUUUAAGAAAUUUUCAUCAAUAUAUUGUAUUUGAAAAUAAUUUUCUUAAAAACUGCUAUUUUUGAAAAGUUUCAUUUUAUAGAUAAAUAUUGUAGAUUUGGGUUUGUGAUUUGAAAAUUAGGAUAACUAGACUAUUUGUAGACAGAUGAAUACUCUUUAAGAAAUUUUCAUCUAUAUGUUGUAUUUUUAAAUAAUUUUCUUAAAAUUGCUAUUUUUGAAUUCUUUCAACCUUGUUUAAUACACUAGGAUUCAACUUGUUUUUCAAUAGACUAUUGUACUCUUUCAACUAUCAAAUUUUUUUAUUCAAUAAGCAUUGUAGAUAGUCUAAAUGGUCUAAUAAUCAUUUUCAUAUAGGGACGUAUAAAACGAAGUCAAGUCGACGAUAAUAACAAAUUGGUUCUAUGGUCUAGCGGUUAGGACAUAUGACUCUGAAUCCAGUAACCCGAGUUCAAUUCUCGGUAGAACCUCUUUUUUAUCCUUUUUAUGUUUUUGUCCAACUUACUGAAGCUUUCCCACGUGCAAAUUAAAAACUCAACGGUCAUUCUAGUCCACUCGUACGAUAUCAGAACAGAUCCAAUAAGAAAGUGAGCAAAUUUAAACCAAAAAAAACUUUCCCUAUAUAACAUUUAACACACACACACACCUGAGUACUCUCGCUUUUGUGCUUACUAAACAAUAGAGUAACAAGUACCCAAUGUUACAUUCAAACAAUACUAAACAGGAUUCUUUAUUUCAAGGCUUUCAACCGAACCAGUUGAGAAGGAGAUAGUACCUAUGAACUAGAGAGGUGGUGAACACUCAUGAUGCAAAUAAGCUAGUCCCUCAGGGCCUCAGCCGCAACAAGAGCAAUUUUCAACCUCGUUAUCCAAUCCCAUGACUUUAAUCCAUCACAUUCAUUGUCUGACUUCCUAACAAAGCGCUAGCCAAAUCUCCGUUCUUCAUAUACUUAACCGUUCCAGGAGUUGAAAGUCUUUUUAACCGUUCCAUCAAUACGCCAUUGAGAUAAUCAUUUCCAGCAGACAGAGGAUGAUCAAUCGAAAAUUCCUGGAGACGAACCUGAUUAUCUGGCUUGUAGGAGGCAAUAGCCAAAGCAUUACCACGAUAUGUACAAGAUACUGUUGAAUUGAUAAGAAUCUCGAGCCUAGACGGACCAUUAGAACUAAGAAAGUUGAUAAGUGGGCCGAAAGUUGAUUAGUGGAAUCACCAUUACGAAUCCGAAUAUAUAAGAACCUCAAUGCUUUAUGUCUCAACUUUAGAACCCGCCUAAACAUACAUAAGAAGGCCUAUUUUAAAAAACUUUGCAUUGCCAUUUUGAAUUUGGAUUUGAUAGUCAUUCACUAUGUAUGAGUCUAAGCUCGUGACUCGAUUUCGUCUUUAUGCAUUUUCAUUCAGGUAAUGCCUUUUAUCUUGUUUUUAGAUUUUUUGAAUUAUAAUUUAUUGGAUAUAGGUGAAACUUUACACCUAUAUGAUAGACAAGUAGUCCCUUACAAAACUAGUUUACCCAAAAGCAAAUGAAAGGAAGUUAAACAAAUUAUUUGAAUACACUUAAAUUGUGUUGAGUUGGCAAAAUUUAGUAACAUUUACAACUUUCUACUAUACUAAAUUAGUAAGACAAAAUAAAUAAAUAUUGAUGGCCCGUUUAUAUAUAUCCUCUAUAAUAAUUGUAGCCUUGUAGCAGACAAAAUUAAAAUUUUAUUUCUGAAAUUAAUUUCGUACCUACAAAAAUACAAACAGUUUAGACAGCACACAACAUCCACACAAAGUCUCAAGGCCUACAUUAGAACUGCAGUCCAUACAUGACUAGUCUACUUAAAAUGAACAAUUAAAUAAUUAUUUUUGAUACCCUAAAGAUUGUGUCGAGUUGUCAAAUUUAAUAACGCUUCCCACUUUCUACUUCGACUUGACCCUCACUCAACUAAAUGCCAGCCUAUCUUUCUCCUUGAUUGCAAUCACACAUUUGCCCUUUAACCAUAUCGUUAUUGACGACUUGUCACAAAAUACCUAUUUUAGCUAUAUAUAUAUAUCCUAUGUUUACACACACACACACAAAACACAAGAACAGCUAAGAAACAAAAAAAUAACAAAAAGUU